AGAGCGAACGCUGGCGGCAGGCCUAACACAUGCAAGUCGAGCGGUCGUAGCAAUACGGCAGCGGCAGACGGGAGAGUAACACGUGGGAACGCGCCCUUCGGUUCGGAAUAACUCAGGGAAACUUGGGCUAAUACCGGAUACGCCCUUACGGGGAAAGAUUUAUUGCCGAAGGAACGGCCCGCGUCCGAUUAGCUUGUUGGUGAGGUAAUGGCUCACCAAGGCGACGAUCGGUAGCUGGUCUGAGAGGAUGACCAGCCUCACUGGGACUGAGACACGGCCCAGACUCCUACGGGAGGCAGCAGUGGGGAAUAUUGGACAAUGGGCGCAAGCCUGAUCCAGCCAUGCCGCGUGGGUGAUGAAGGCCCUAGGGUUGUAAAGCCCUUUCGGCGGGGAAGAUAAUGACGGUACCCGCAGAAGAAGCCCCGGCUAACUUCGCGCCAGCAGCCGC
rnacentral:rRNA from 1 species